UUGAUUUUGUUGGACAGCUUCAAAACACCGAGAUCCAUUCAAGUUCACUCGCAGAUGCUUAUCCUGUCAAGGCAGUCGUACAGGAAGAUGCAUUUGAGCUGUGCAAGGACAACAGAUACAGCCAGCCAACAGGGAAGAGUGGGCUGUCAGCCGCAGAAAAUUGAUGACAUUGUACAACUCCAUGGGCUGCCAUGACUCCGACAUGGCUCUAACGACCACCUCCCCAACAAGCUACUGCCGGUUGAAAGCAUGUCGGAGGAGGAUCUGAAGGGCGAGAACCGGCGUCGCAGUGGAACCGGGAGGAGGAGGUGUGGUGGCGAACACCAUCUGCGACAUCAAAUAGUGCAUCGUGGAGGCGCUCAGGUGGUUGUGAAUGGACUAGUCUACUGAUUGCGAUUGUUUUAGUGUACGGAGCUUCCACUUGUUCUUCUGGAUUUAACGAUUGAAUUGGUUCUAUAUUGGUUGGACAAUAGUUCAAAUGGUCCCGUAAAUCUCAAAUGGUUCCCUAAAUCUCAAAUGGUUCGGUCAUAAUUGAACUUUUGCUUACAGUAUCUCAUCCCCUUAUUAUUUUGUUGCAUGCAAAUGGUGUAGCGUGAUUCCAGUUAUGCCUAAGUUGGGAACAAUAGGUUCUUAAUUGUCGAUUGUUGGAUGCUUAAGUUGGGUACAUGUGCGUUUAUUAGUGGCUGUUAUUUGGAUCCUUCUAUAAAUAUAAGUGUUUUUUUACCUAACCAUGCUUUGUUCU